rnacentral:rRNA from 1 species
CAGCCGCCGCGGUAAUACGUAGGGUGCAAGCGUCAAUCGGAAUUACUGGGCGUAAAGCGUGCGCAGGCGGUUCGGAAAGAAAGAUGUGAAAUCCCAGAGCUUAACUUUGGAACUGCAUUUUUAACUACCGGGCUAGAGUGUGUCAGAGGGAGGUGGAAUUCCGCGUGUAGCAGUGAAAUGCGUAGAUAUGCGGAGGAACACCGAUGGCGAAGGCAGCCUCCUGGGAUAACACUGACGCUCAUGCACGAAAGCGUGGGGAGCAAACAGGAUUAGAUACCCUGGUAGUCCACGCCCUAAACGAUGUCAACUAGCUGUUGGGGCCUUCGGGCCUUGGUAGCGCAGCUAACGCGUGAAGUUGACCGCCUGGGGAGUACGGUCGCAAGAUUAAAACUUAAAGGAAUUGGCGGG